CGCUCUUUGUGUAGUAAUUUAAGAUAAGGAGUCGGACCUGCCCAGUGACGUAAUGUUAAACGGCCGCGGUACUCUGACCGUGCAAAGGUAGCAUAAUCACUUGCCUUUUAAUUGGAGGCUUGUAUGAAUGGUUUGACGAGAGCUAAGCUGUCUCCUUUUAAAUAUUUAGAAAUUAAUUUAUAGGUGAAGAGGCCUAUAUAUAUUUGAGGGACAAGAAGACCCUAUUGAGUUUGAGUGUAAUUUGAAAUAAGUUGUUGUUUGUAGCUGUAUGUUACAGAUGGUAAGGUUGUAUGUGUAUAUAAAUUGAGUUUUUCUGAAAUCUUUGGUUGGGGCGACUGAGGAGUAUAAAAAGCUUCCUUUAAUAGAUUAUGGCUGGCGAGUUAGGUUGAUCCAAUUUUAUUGAUCAAAGGAAAAAAUUACCAUAGGGAUAACAGCGUAAUCUUUUUGGAGAGUUCUUAUCGAAAAAAGGGUUUGCGACCUCGAUGUUGGACUAAGAUAUCCUGGGGGUGUAGAAGUUCCCGAAGGUUGGUCUGUUCGACCAUUAAAAUCUU
rnacentral:misc_RNA from 1 species